AUUGAACGCUGGCGGCAUGCUUUACACAUGCAAGUCGAACGGCAGCACGGGCUUCGGCCUGGUGGCGAGUGGCGAACGGGUGAGUAAUGCAUCGGAACGUACCGUGUAAUGGGGGAUAACGUAGCGAAAGUUACGCUAAUACCGCAUACGCCCUGAGGGGGAAAGUGGGGGACCGCAAGGCCUCACGUUAUACGAGCGGCCGAUGUCGGAUUAGCUAGUUGGUGGGGUAAAGGCCUACCAAGGCGACGAUCCGUAGCGGGUCUGAGAGGAUGAUCCGCCACACUGGGACUGAGACACGGCCCAGACUCCUACGGGAGGCAGCAGUGGGGAAUUUUGGACAAUGGGCGCAAGCCUGAUCCAGCCAUGCCGCGUGAGUGAAGAAGGCC
rnacentral:rRNA from 1 species